rnacentral:rRNA from 1 species
UAUGUGAUCGUCUCUCGCAUAUCAAUAAGCGGAGGAAAAGAAACUAACAAGGAUUCCCCUAGUAACGGCGAGUGAAGCGGGAAGAGCUCAAAUUUGAAAUCUUAAAGGGUUUCCCUUUACGAAUUGUAGUUUAAAGAAGUGUUUUCUGUUGAGGUUUUGGUAAGAGUUCUUUGGAAUAGGACAUCAUAGAGGGUGAGAAUCCCGUAUUUGACCUUUACUUUCAACUUUGUGAUACACUUUCAAAGAGUCGGAUUGUUUGGGAAUGCAGUCCAAAAUGGGUGGUAAAUUUCAUCUAAAGCUAAAUAUUGGCGAGAGACCGAUAGCGAACAAGUACCGAGAGGGAAAGAUGAAAAGAACUUUGAAAAGAGAGUUAAACAGUACGUGAAAUUGUCAAAAGGGAAGCGUUUGACACCAGUGUUGUUUUUCUGAAAAUCAAUUAAAGAACUGUUUAUGCUAAGCUGUUUAGACUUUAUCAGCUAUCUGUUUAGUUUUGAGCUUUUCUUUAAUGCACUUUUCAGUUAACAAGUCAACAUCAAUUUCUUUUGCUGUAAAAAAGCUUGAGGAAGGUGGCUUGAGAUUCGUCUUAAGUGUUUAUAGCCUCUUGCCUAUGCAGUCGGAGAGAUUGAGGUCUGCAGCGUAGAUCCUUCAGGGCUAAAUGCAUUUGUGCUAAGUUAUAGCAUUUUAUAGACAACUUGUUGACUAUGAUUUGUCUUGUAGCUUACUCGCUUAUGUUAUUUUACCUACGCUUAGGAUGUUGAGUAGCGACAUACGCAC